rnacentral:rRNA from 1 species
GGUCAAGUGAAGAAGCGCAUACGGUGGAUGCCUUGGCAGUCAGAGGCGAUGAAAGACGUGGUAGCCUGCGAAAAGCUUCGGGGAGUCGGCAAACAGACUGUGAUCCGGAGAUGUCUGAAUGGGGGAACCCAGCCAUCACAAGAUGGUUAUCUUACACUGAAUACAUAGGUGUAAGAGGCGAACCAGGGGAACUGAAACAUCUAAGUACCCUGAGGAAAAGAAAUCAACCGAGAUUCCCUUAGUAGUGGCGAGCGAACGGGGACCAGCCCUUAAGUUGUAUUGAGAUUAGCGGAACGCUCUGGAAAGUGCGGCCAUAGUGGGUGAUAGCCCUGUACGCGAAAAUCCCUUUGCAAUGAAAUCGAGUAGGACGGGGCACGAGAAACCUUGUCUGAAUAUGGGGGGACCAUCCUCCAAGGCUAAAUACUACUGACUGACCGAUAGUGAACCAGUACCGUGAGGGAAAGGCGAAAAGAACCGCGGAGAGCGGAGUGAAAUAGAUCCUGAAACCGUAUGCGUACAAGCAGUGGGAGCCCACUUUGUUGGGUGACUGCGUACCUUUUGUAUAAUGGGUCAGCGACUUAUUUUCAGUGGCGAGCUUAACCGAAUAGGGGAGGCGUAGCGAAAGCGAGUCUUAAUAGGGCGUCUAGUCGCUGGGAAUAGACCCGAAACCGGGCGAUCUAUCCAUGGGCAGGUUGAAGGUUGGGUAACACUAACUGGAGGACCGAACCGACUACCGUUGAAAAGUUAGCGGAUGACCUGUGGAUCGGAGUGAAAGGCUAAUCAAGCUCGGAGAUAGCUGGUUCUCCUCGAAAGCUAUUUAGGUAGCGCCUCAUGUAUCACUGUAGGGGGUAGAGCACUGUUUCGGCUAGGGGGUCAUCCCGACUUACCAAACCGAUGCAAACUCCGAAUACCUACAAGUGCCGAGCAUGGGAGACACACGGCGGGUGCUAACGUCCGUCGUGAAAAGGGAAACAACCCAGACCGUCAGCUAAGGUCCCAAAGUCAUGGUUAAGUGGGAAACGAUGUGGGAAGGCUUAGACAGCUAGGAGGUUGGCUUAGAAGCAGCCACCCUUUAAAGAAAGCGUAAUAGCUCACUAGUCGAGUCGGCCUGCGCGGAAGAUGUAACGGGGCUCAAACCAUGCACCGAAGCUACGGGUAUCACCUUUGGUGAUGCGGUAGAGGAGCGUUCUGUAAGCCUGUGAAGGUGAGUUGAGAAGCUUGCUGGAGGUAUCAGAAGUGCGAAUGCUGACAUGAGUAACGACAAUGGGUGUGAAAAACACCCACGCCGAAAGACCAAGGUUUCCUGCGCAACGUUAAUCGACGCAGGGUUAGUCGGUCCCUAAGGCGAGGCUGAAAAGCGUAGUCGAUGGAAAACAGGUUAAUAUUCCUGUACUUCUGGUUAUUGCGAUGGAGGGACGGAGAAGGCUAGGCCAGCCUGGCGUUGGUAGUCCAGGUUUAAGGUGGUAGGCUGAGAUCUUAGGUAAAUCCGGGAUCUUAAGGCCGAGAGCUGAUGACGAGUGUUCUUUUAGAACAUGAAGUGGUUGAUGCCAUGCUUCCAAGAAAAGCUUCUAAGCUUCAGGUAACCAGGAACCGUACCCCAAACCGACACAGGUGGUUGGGUAGAGAAUACCAAGGCGCUUGAGAGAACUCGGGUGAAGGAACUAGGCAAAAUGGCACCGUAACUUCGGGAGAAGGUGCGCCGGUGAGGGUGAAGCAUUUACUGCGUAAGCCCACGCCGGUCGAAGAUACCAGGCCGCUGCGACUGUUUAUUAAAAACACAGCACUCUGCAAACACGAAAGUGGACGUAUAGGGUGUGACGCCUGCCCGGUGCCGGAAGGUUAAUUGAUGGGGUUAGCGCAAGCGAAGCUCUUGAUCGAAGCCCCGGUAAACGGCGGCCGUAACUAUAACGGUCCUAAGGGAGCGAAAUUCCUUGUCGGGUAAGUUCCGACCUGCACGAAUGGCGUAACGAUGGCGGCGCUGUCUCCACCCGAGACUCAGUGAAAUUGAAAUCGCUGUGAAGAUGCAGUGUAUCCGCGGCUAGACGGAAAGACCCCGUGAACCUUUACUAUAGCUUUGCACUGGACUUUGAAUUUGCUUGUGUAGGAUAGGUGGGAGGCUUUGAAGCGUGGACGCCAGUCUGCGUGGAGCCAACCUUGAAAUACCACCCUGGCAACUUUGAGGUUCUAACUCAGGUCCGUUAUCCGGAUCGAGGACAGUGUAUGGUGGGUAGUUUGACUGGGGCGGUCUCCUCCUAAAGAGUAACGGAGGAGUACGAAGGUGCGCUCAGACCGGUCGGAAAUCGGUCGUAGAGUAUAAAGGCAAAAGCGCGCUUGACUGCGAGACAGACACGUCGAGCAGGUACGAAAGUAGGUCUUAGUGAUCCGGUGGUUCUGUAUGGAAGGGCCAUCGCUCAACGGAUAAAAGGUACUCCGGGGAUAACAGGCUGAUACCGCCCAAGAGUUCAUAUCGACGGCGGUGUUUGGCACCUCGAUGUCGGCUCAUCACAUCCUGGGGCUGAAGCCGGUCCCAAGGGUAUGGCUGUUCGCCAUUUAAAGUGGUACGCGAGCUGGGUUUAGAACGUCGUGAGACAGUUCGGUCCCUAUCUGCCGUGGACGUUUGAGAUUUGAGAGGGGCUGCUCCUAGUACGAGAGGACCGGAGUGGACGAACCUCUGGUGUUCCGGUUGUCACGCCAGUGGCAUUGCCGGGUAGCUAUGUUCGGAAAAGAUAACCGCUGAAAGCAUCUAAGCGGGAAACUUGCCUCAAGAUGAGAUCUCACUGGAACCUAGAGUUCCCUGAAGGGCCGUCGAAGACUACGACGUUGAUAGGUUGGGUGUGUAAGCGCUGUGAGGCGUUGAGCUAACCAAUACUAAUUGCCCGUGAGGCUUGACCAU